rnacentral:rRNA from 1 species
AUUGAACGCUGGCGGCAGGCCUAAUACAUGCAAGUCGAACGCGUGGCGGACGGGUGAGUAAUGUCUGGGAAACUGCUUGAUGGCGGGGGAUAACUACUGGAAACGGUACCUAAUCCCGCAUACCAUCAGAUUUUCCCUGAGGGGAGUAGCUCGUUGGUGGGGUAACGGCUCACAAAGGCCACGAUCCCUAGCUGGUCUGAGAGGAUGACCGGCCACACGGGAACUGAGACACGGUCCAGACUCCUACGGGAGGCAGCAGUAGGGAAUAUUGCACAAUGGGCGAAAGCCGGACGCAGCAAUGCCGCGUGUAUGAAGAAGGCCUUCGGAUUGUAAAGUACUGUCAGCAGGGAGGCGUUACCCGCAGAAGAAGCACCGGCUAACUCCGUGCCAGCAGCCGCGGUAAUAC